rnacentral:rRNA from 1 species
GUCGAGCGAGCGGAACUAACAGAUUUACUUCGGUAAUGACGUUAGGAAAGCGAGCGGCGGAUGGGUGAGUAACACGUGGGGAACCUGCCCCAUAGUCUGGGAUACCACUUGGAAACAGGUGCUAAUACCGGAUAAGAAAGCAGAUCGCAUGAUCAGCUUUUAAAAGGCGGCGUAAGCUGUCGCUAUGGGAUGGCCCCGCGGUGCAUUAGCUAGUUGGUAAGGUAAAGGCUUACCAAGGCGAUGAUGCAUAGCCGAGUUGAGAGACUGAUCGGCCACAUUGGGACUGAGACACGGCCCAAACUCCUACGGGAGGCAGCAGUAGGGAAUCUUCCACAAUGGACGCAAGUCUGAUGGAGCAACGCCGCGUGAGUGAAGAAGGUUUUCGGAUCGUAAAGCUCUGUUGUUGGUGAAGAAGGAUAGAGGUAGUAACUGGCCUUUAUUUGACGGUAAUCAACCAGAAAGUCACGGCUAACUACGUGCCAGCAGCCGCGGUAAUACGUAGGUGGCAAGCGUUGUCCGGAUUUAUUGGGCGUAAAGCGAGCGCAGGCGGAAGAAUAAGUCUGAUGUGAAAGCCCUCGGCUUAACCGAGGAACUGCAUCGGAAACUGUUUUUCUUGAGUGCAGAAGAGGAGAGUGGAACUCCAUGUGUAGCGGUGGAAUGCGUAGAUAUAUGGAAGAACACCAGUGGCG